UUUGGGACAGAGAGGGGAAAGUGUAAACCCCUCUCCGGGUACCGAUCCGGAGAUCAUGACCAAAUGUUUCACAUAUGUGAUUGCACAUAUGGGGGAAAAGGGCGUAUAUUUGACAUAUACGGGUGAAUUAAACCAGAAGACGGGACUGACAAAGAUGCCAACCCCCUGUCAACUGGAUCCGGAAGAACAAGCCCAAUCUGAGGAAGGUACAAGGACCUUCCUGGGUGAGGAUUGGACUUGCAGUUUGAUCCGUUGGCUUCCCACCACCACUGGCUUGUGGAGCGGUACUGCCCGAUAUCAUCUAUGCUAAAUUAUGAUGGAACAAUAGCAGCAGAGUAUCAACGAAACUUUCCCAAAAAAGUCCAAUAAGACCAAUCAGAUUAAAUAAGAAAUACAUCAAGUUAAAGUGCACAAUACAAAAAGUUGAGGAUGCAGCAAAAUGGACACACAAAAUUGGAAUAUAUAAUGGCAAUCAGAACAUCAAGUUUUAUUGAGAAUCAGGUAUUAUGGCCAGUGAUAAGAUUCGUCCAAUUUUUUCCAUGCAUGGUUUUAAUUUCAGUUAACUGAGGAAUUUUUGUACAUAUAAAACAAAAAUUUACGUACACCUGAAGGAUAUUCGAUGAGAUAAAAAAAAUUAAAACUGAUCAACAAUUGCCACAUGUUGAAAAAAGAAGAUUUUUUGUUUUAGAACAUAGAUCUGAUUUCGUCACUUCACAUAAUUUGUAAUAAGAUUCUAAUAAUUUCAUUGGAACUGUAUAUAAGUAUUGUUUAUU